rnacentral:rRNA from 1 species
UACGAAGGGGGCUAGCGUUGCUCGGAAUCACUGGGCGUAAAGCGCACGUAGGCGGCUUGUUAAGUCAGGGGUGAAAUCCUGGAGCUCAACUCCAGAACUGCCUUUGAUACUGGCGAGCUUGAGUCCGAUAGAGGUGGGUGGAAUUCCUAGUGUAGAGGUGAAAUUCGUAGAUAUUAGGAAGAACACCGGUGGCGAAGGCGGCCCACUGGAUCGGUACUGACGCUGAGGUGCGAAAGCGUGGGGAGCAAACAGG